GGCGCUAUAGUCUAGCGGUUAAGACGAGCGUUUUGACGCUUCACAUGGAGACCACCUGGGUUCGAGUCCCAGGUGGGACCA